UUGUUUGAGAUAUAUUUGAGUGAAGUAUUGCUCAAUCUAACAGCUCGACACAUUUCAGGUGACAAAAGCCUGGAUGAAGCCACCAGCGGCCCAGAUUCAAUAGACACAACAGAUACUGACACAGACACUAAUACAGAAACAGAUGCAUCGCAGCAGAAGACAAGCGAUUCAGAUGAGAACAAUGAGAAACCAUCAGCGGAGGACAGCAC
rnacentral:lncRNA from 1 species